CAGGCAGCCACACCACCAGCACCAUGCUAAGCUGCCAAGCCUGAGUCUCACUGGUACAAACCAGUUUUCAUUUAGUUUUCAGCUUUCAUAAAAGCAUUAUGUCAGACUUUUGCACACUGCUCAGGGGAACAGGAAACUAUUGCAACAUUUAUCUCACAGCAAAAGCAGUGAGCAAAAUCGACCACCCAUCUCAGGAUGUGAGCAGCAACCCCAGAAGGCUCCCACAGGAGCAAGUAACUCCUCUUGAAUGCCAGAAAUAUUAAAGAAGGAUGAACAAUCACCUGCAAGGCCUCUCUCAUACGUUCCCUGUCCACCAGGUUGUGCAGAGGCCUCUCCCUGCCUGAAGGCACAUGCAAGCUGCUGACGGCGGCAUGGUUACAUGCAGACUCAGGCCCCACUGAGUUGGGUUGAGGCUCUGCUCAGAAGUAUUUUGUGACAGCCAGGGGAAUAUUUGUCCCUGCUUGGCACCUUCUCACUGCAACACUGCUCCUGCUCCCUCUGGGCUGCAGUUUCAGCAGUUCCCAGCUGUGAAAGGCUGUACCUGUUUUGUUUUGUUUGCCGUUUAUUGCAUGUGCUUUUGCAAAGGUGUAGCUUGGCAGCAGAGGAGGCCGCAGGCUAGUCUUGUCCUUGCGGGAAGGACAGGCCAAUUCUAAAAGAGCCCUUCUCAAAGAACCUUUUGGAGGAGUGUGUGGAUGGUGGGGGGAGAGGUGCAAGCAAAUGACCAAGCGAGGAGUGAGCCCUCUGGGAUAGCAAAGCUUGCCAGUGCAUGGGAGACCAGAGAAAGCAGCCAGGAACCUCAGAGGGGAGCGGAGACGGACACGGAGCCCGGCUGGGGCGGCACCAAGUCUGCUGCAAGCCAGCCAGCCCCUGAGCUGGUGAACUGGAACAAGCCUGGGAGAAAAGACGUGACCGCGGAGGCAGGGGGAUCUGCAUGACCUUUACCUUCUGUUUACCAAAUGCGGUGUCCUAGAAAUGACAUUCUGACUCUUGCAAAGCCAAUAUACAAUUGCCAUUGCUCUGGAAACCACUAUAUCCCACCAUCAAUUUUCUUAUGCAUCAGUAAACAAUAGUGUUAUCACAGAAGUUACAAUGAGGCAGGUGAAAAUGGUAAGUGAAGCAGAGUUAGAAAUUUUCUUGAAUAUUACAGGAACAAGUUGUACUAAAAUAAUUGCAAGCAUUCUGUAGAAUUUUC
rnacentral:lncRNA from 1 species